CGGGAUGUAGCGCAGUUGGUAGCGCACUACGUUCGGGACGUAGGGGUCGCUGGUUCGAGUCCAGUCAUCCCGAC
rnacentral:tRNA from 3 species